GAACUAGGCUUAGUUGGUCAGAGCGCUUGGACAGUUUCUAAGAGGUGCGGGUUCAAAUCUCGCUAUGUUCA
rnacentral:tRNA from 1 species